rnacentral:rRNA from 1 species
GACGAACGCUGGCGGCGUGCUUAACACAUGCUAGUCGAACGGAAAGGCCCUGCUUUUGUGGGGUGCUCGAGUGGCGAACGGGUGAGUAACACGUGAGUAACCUGCCCUUGACUUUGGGAUAACUUCAGGAAACUGGGGCUAAUACCGGAUAGGAGCUCCUGCUGCAUGGUGGGGGUUGGAAAGUUUCGGCGGUUGGGGAUGGACUCGCGGCUUAUCAGCUUGUUGGUGGGGUAGUGGCUUACCAAGGCUUUGACGGGUAGCCGGCCUGAGAGGGUGACCGGCCACAUUGGGACUGAGAUACGGCCCAGACUCCUACGGGAGGCAGCAGUGGGGAAUAUUGCACAAUGGGCGGAAGCCUGAUGCAGCAACGCCGCGUGCGGGAUGACGGCCUUCGGGUUGUAAACCGCUUUCGCCUGUGACGAAGCGUGAGUGACGGUAAUGGGUAAAGAAGCACCGGCUAACUACGUGCCAGCAGCCGCGGUGAUACGUAGGGUGCGAGCGUUGUCCGGAUUUAUUGGGCGUAAAGGGCUCGUAGGUGGUUGAUCGCGUCGGAAGUGUAAUCUUGGGGCUUAACCCUGAGCGUGCUUUCGAUACGGGUUGACUUGAGGAAGGUAGGGGAGAAUGGAAUUCCUGGUGGAGCGGUGGAAUGCGCAGAUAUCAGGAGGAACACCAGUGGCGAAGGCGGUUCUCUGGGCCUUUCCUGACGCUGAGGAGCGAAAGCGUGGGGAGCGAACAGGCUUAGAUACCCUGGUAGUCCACGCUGUAAACGGUGGGUACUAGGUGUGGGGUCCGUUCCACGGGUUCCGUGCCGUAGCUAACGCUUUAAGUACCCCGCCUGGGGAGUACGGCCGCAAGGCUAAAACUCAAAGGAAUUGACGGGGCCCCGCACAAGCGGCGGAGCAUGCGGAUUAAUUCGAUGCAACGCGUAGAACCUUACCCGGGUUUGACAUGGAUCGGGAGUGCUCAGAGAUGGGUGUGCCUCUUUUGGGGUCGGUUCACAGGUGGUGCAUGCCUGUCGUCAGCUCGUGUCGUGAGAUGUUGGGUUAAGUCCCGCAACGAGCGCAACCCUUGUUCACUGUUGCCAGCACGUUAUGGUGGGGACUCAGUGGAGACCGCCGGGGUCAACUCGGAGGAAGGUGGGGAUGACGUCAAGUCAUCAUGCCCCUUAUGUCCAGGGCUUCACGCAUGCUACAAUGGCUGGUACAGAGAGUGGCGAGCCUGUGAGGGUGAGCGAAUCUCGGAAAGCCGGUCUCAGUUCGGAUUGGGGUCUGCAACUCGACCUCAUGAAGUCGGAGUCGCUAGUAAUCGCAGAUCAGCAACGCUGCGGUGAAUACGUUCCCGGG